GCGGCCGCGAGCGGGUGGGACCGGAGGCGGCGGGAGUCGCGGCUGCUGUCCGUGCACCUGAGAGCCGACGCCCAGGUCUUCGAAGCUGCACCCGCAGCAGUCCCCGUCGCCAUGAGCCGCUUCAAGGUGUCCAAGUUCCGACACACGGAGGCCCGGCCGUCCCGCCGCGAGGCCUGGAUCAGUGACAUUCGAGCAGGAACCACACCCUCAUGUGGGAACCAUAUCAAAUCCAGCUGCCACUUGAUUGCAUUUAACUCUGACCGUCCAGGUGUGCUGGGCAUCGUGCCUCUGGAAGGCCAAGGAGAGGACAAGAGACAGGUGACCUACCUUGGCUGCCAUUCAGACCUGGUCACGGACUUGGACUUCUCUCCCUUUGAUGACUUCCUCCUGGCCACGGGCUCAGCUGACAGGAUGGUGAAGCUGUGGCGCCUGCCCGCCCCUGGCCAGGUGCUACCCUCGGUGCCCGGGCUGGUGCUGGGCCCAGAGCCUGUCCAGGUAGAGGUGCUGCAGUUCCAUCCCACCACGGACGGUGUCCUGGCGAGCGCAGCGGGCAUGGCCGUGAAGGUCUGGGAUGUAGCCAAGCAGCAGGCCCUCACAGAGCUGGCGGCCCACGGGGACCUGGUGCUGGGUGCCGUCUGGAGCCGGGACGGAGCCCUGGUGGGCACGAUGUGCAAGGACAAGCAGCUGCGGAUCUUCGACCCCAGAGCAAAGCCAGGGGCCUCCCAGAGCACAGAGGCCCACAAGAACAGCAAGGAUGGUCGGCUGGUGUGGACGGGCACCCAGGAGCACCUUGUGUCCACUGGAUUCAACCAGAUGCGUGAGCGGGAAGUGAAGCUGUGGGACACCCGGCACUUCUCCAGCGCCCUCACCUCCCUCAGCCUGGACACCUCACCCGGGUCUCUGCUGCCCCUGCUGGACCCAGACUCCGGGCUCCUGAUCCUGGCAGGAAAGGGGGAGAGUCAGUUGUACUGCUACGAGGUGGCCCCCCAGCAGCUCACACUGAGCCAAGUGACCCAGUGCCUCCUGGAGAGCGUGCUGCGCGGGGUGGCUCUCGUGCCCCGGCGGGCGCUGGCCGUCAUGGGCUGCGAGGUGCUCCGCGUCCUGCAGUUGAGCGAUGCGGCCAUCGUGCCUGUCAGCUACCAUGUGCCUCGCAAGGCUGUGGAGUUCCAUGAGGACCUGUUCCCAGACACGGCAGGCUGCGUGCCUGUCUCCGACCCCCAUGCCUGGUGGGCUGGGAGCAACCAGCAGGUGCAGAAGGUUAGCCUCCACCCAGCUCACCGGCCCUACCCCAGCUUCACUUCCUGCCUGGUGCCCCCCGCGGAGCCCUCCCCCGAUGCAGCCCCGCCAGCAGCAGCCCCGCCUGCAGAGACGCCUGUGGGUGAUGCGGACCCCAGCGAGGGCUUCUCCUCCCCUCUCAGCUCGCUGACCUCGCCCUCCACGCCCUCCAGCCUGGGGCCCUCCCUCUCUAGCACCAGUGGCAUCAGCACCAGCCCCAGCCAGAGGUCCCUACAGAGCCUGCUGGGCCCCAGUUCCAAGUUCCGCCAUGCUCAGGGCGCCGUCCUGCACCGAGACAACCACAUCACCAACCUCAAGGGACUCAACCUCACCACGCCUGGCGAGAGUGACGGAUUCUGUGCCAACCAGCUACGCGUGGCCGUGCCCUUGCUCAGCAAUGGUGGGCAGGUGGCUGUGCUUGAGCUACAGAAGCCUGGCCGCCUGCCCGACACAGCACUGCCCACGCUGCAGAAUGGGGCAGCUGUGACGGAUCUGGCUUGGGACCCCUUUGACCCCUACCGCCUUGCUGUUGGUGGGGAGGAUGCCAGGAUCCGACUGUGGCGGGUGCCCCCAGAGGGCCUGCAGGAGGUGCUCACAACACCUGAGGCUGUGCUCACAGGCCACACAGAGAAGAUCUACUCUCUGCGCUUCCACCCACUGGCAGCCGACGUGCUGGCCUCCUCUUCCUAUGACCUUACCAUUCGGAUCUGGGACCUUCAGGCCAGAGCCGAGCGGCUGAGGCUGCAGGGCCACCGGGACCAGAUCUUCAGCCUGGCUUGGAGUCCUGAUGGACGGCAUCUGGCCACUGUCUGCAGGGAUGGGUACUUGCGGGUCUAUGAGCCCCGGGAUGGCCCUGAGCCCCUGCAGGAAGGCCCAGGGCCUGAGGGGGCCCGUGGAGCCCGUGUUGUCUGGGUCUGUGAUGGUCACUGUCUGCUGGUGUCUGGUUUUGACAGCCGAAGUGAGCGUCAGCUACUCCUAUACCCCACCGAGGCCCUGGCCGGUGGUCCUUUGGCAGUGCUGGGGCUGGACGUGGCUCCCUCGACCCUGCUUCCCAGCUAUGACCCAGACACCAGCCUGGUGCUACUCACGGGCAAGGGUGACACCCGCGUGUUCCUGUACGAGCUGCUCCCUGAGGCUCCUUUCUUCCUAGAGUGCAAUAGCUUCACGUCCCCGGAUCCCCACAAGGGCUUCAUCCUCUUGCCCAAGACAGAGUGUGACGUGCGGGAAGUAGAGUUUGCCCGAUGCCUACGGCUUCGCCAGACCUCCCUGGAGCCUGUCGCCUUCCGGCUACCCCGAGUCAGGAAAGAGUUCUUCCAGGAUGAUGUUUUCCCAGACACAGCCUUGAGCUGGGAGCCGGUGCUCAGUGCCAGCGCCUGGCUGGGAGGUGCUAAUGGGCAGCCCCGGCUUAUCAGCCUGCAGCCUGCCGGCAUGACCCCAGUAAGCCAGGCCCCCCGUGAAGCCCCUGCCCGACGGGUCCCACCCUCAGCACUCUACCUGGAAGAGAAGUCAGACCAGCAAAAGAAGGAGGAGCUGCUAAAUGCCAUGGUGGCCAAGCUGGGGAACCGGGAGGACCCGCUCCCCCAGGACUCCUUUGAAGGUGUGGACGAGGACGAGUGGACCUCUCAUCCCCCUCGGUUUAUCUCCCCAGGACUAGCCUGCCCACCACUACCUCUAGCCUCACCGGCCGCUGCCACCUCCUAGAACCACCUGGUGUGGUGCCCCCUGCACACCUCACUUCUCACCCUCAAACUGGAAGAUGCCUCCUGGUCCUGGCACACCUUAUCCCAAAAGCCCUGGCUUCCUCUGGGCCUUGGGCACUUCUGUGGCCUCUGGGCCCCGCUGCAACUCCUGUGGAUUGUCUGCACCUCUGCUUUCUGUGGGACUGGCUGCUUCUCCGCUGCCUGCUAGCAUGUGGAACCAGGGGCGUGGCGGUGGGGUGGGGUGGGGUGGGAGUGGGGUCAGUAGCACGCCCCUGGGCUAGUCCCAGCCUGGGCUGGCUUCGCCCAGCACCUUCAGUUGUUACACGCCAUCCCAUCUUGCCUGCUGGCCCACUUCCAGUCAAGAGCCUUGGGGGCUGGCCCCCUGCCAGGCCAUCUGGAGCAGCGUCAGCCUCAGGGGCCAGGGACCAGCUGCCCUCCUCCUCAGGUCUGAAACCAGUAGAAGGGGGCGGUACAGAGCUGAUGGCCCAAUCAAGGGGGGUGUGAACCCCUCAGGGACUGGCCUGCAUAUACCCUGAUGUUUUCAGCAAUUAAACUUUUCUAAGCUGGCCACCUCUUGUGCUGCUAUGGUCUUUUGGCUGACUGGAAGGGGAAGGGGACAGGAGGAUGGGUGAGGGCAUUUUGGCUCUGGUUCCCCCUUGUCCCAGGUCUCACUUCACUCCUGAGUCCUCUUCAGCUGCUAUGAGUUCAUUCAUUCAUCCAGCACAGAGACAGUGCUCUGGAUGGUAGACACAGUAAUGAACAGGAGAGACAAGGCCUCUUGAGGCACUUGUUAUAGUCUUCCUGUGCCGGGGAGCCAGACCGUGUGCAAGUAAGCAAACCGUGAAGAAAGCUGUAAAGAAGACAAAAUAGGGGCACCUGUCUUGUUCAGCUGGUAGCGCAUGCAACUCUUGAUCUCAGGGUAGUAAGUUCAGCAUGCCCCAUGUUGGGCAUAGAGAUUACUUAAUUACACUUGAUCUUAGCCAAAAGGCCGAGAAGCGAUGAGAUUACUUAAUUAAAAAAAGAUGACAAAUUAUGUGAAAAGGGAGCAGCUGAGAUGCAGGGAGAGCAGGGUGUUUAGUCUGAGGGGCGACCUUUAAGAUGAGAGCUGAGACCUGAAGGCCACAGAGCCGCAAGAAGAACAUUUCAGACAAAAGGAAGGGCGGCCACUGCACUGAGGGAAGAAAGAAUUUGGAGUGUUGGAGGAAAGGGCAGUGGUCCAAAACAUAGUCCAAGGCAGCCUGACUUAACAUUCACUCAGCAAUCACAUGUCGAGUAUCUUCCCUGUGCCAGCCACCUGUCCAAGAGUGGAGAAAAAAGCAAAGUCCUGUCCACCAGGAAUCCACAUUCUAGUGGAAAGGAACAGGUUAUAAACAAUGAACAUAAAAUAAAUGAAUUAAAAUAAUAUGGCAGAAGGUGAUAAGAACUCUGGGGGGAAGAAAUAGAAGGGACUGAGAGCCAGACAUACAAAAAAGCCACAUACAGUACAAUUCCACUUUCAUGAGCUGUUCGGAACAGACUAAUCCAGGGGCGCCUGGAUGGCUCCGUCGGUUAAGCGGCUGCCUUCGACUCAGGUCAUGAUCCCAGGGUCCUGGGAUCAAGUCCUGCAUCAGGCUUUUUGCUCAUUGGGGAGCGUGCUUCUCCCUCUCCCUCUGCCGUUCCUUCCCCUCACUUGUGCUCUCUGGCUCUCUGUCAAAUAAAUAAAUAAAAUCUAAAAAAAAAAAAGGAACAGACAAAAGCUUAGUGGUCACCAGGAGCUGGGGGAGGGGCAGUGAUUGUUAAUGGGUAGGGAGGUUUUUGGGGGGUUGAUGAAAAUGUUCUGGUGUUCUAGUGGUGAUGGUUGCACAACUCUGUAAAUACACUAAACACUGAAUUGUGCACUUUAAGAUAGUGAACUUUAUCUCAAAGCUGUUACUAAAACAAAAGAAUACAGGGCAAGUUGCAGCAUUGGUAGGAGAGCAGGGUGGGCCUCAUUGAGAAGGUGAUACUUGAGCAAGAACUUGGAGGAGAGUGUGAGAUCUUCCCAGGCAGAAGGAACCUAGAAGGAAACCCGUUUUGAGGUUUCCUGUUUUCUUACAUAUUUUUGAGACUUUGGCAUCCUACUCAUGUUCGUGGGGUGUUGUAGGUUUAUUACAUAUCUUUUAGUACCAAAUAUUUUGGCAAAAUGAAGGGAAGAAAUUGCCCCGCAUUUGACAGAUGCAUUUAUUCUGUUGCAUCUAGCGCAGCAGGACAAACGUGAGGGACACCUUGGGUCCUGUCGACCAGAGGCCGACUCCGCCUCUGACCCCGCCCACUGAUUACAUCACGACACCCCGCCCCCUGGAGGGAACAGUGCGCAUGCCUAGCGCGGCGUCACGCACGCGCUCUCUCCCUUGACCUCUGACCCGCCGGCCGCCCUUUAGUUGGAGCGGCGGGGCCAGGAAGCCGGAGCCCGCGACCCCGGGGCGGAGCGGCCACCAUGCCAGCCGGGCAGCAGCUGAUGCUCGAGGACGUGCUGGACACCAGUCUGCAGCUGCCUCCAACCUGU